rnacentral:lncRNA from 1 species
UCACAGCACUCACUCAAUCUAUACUGCCCUCUUCCUCACUCUCUGUACUUCUCCCGCACUCUCUUCCCCUCUCUGAUCUGCUCUCCUUAUAGAGGAGAUCGGCCUCCAUUGUUGACAAUCACCAGCCGCAUCCUUCUCUCUCUGCCAUUCUUUUUCUUCCUCCGCCUCUAUCAGAGACUUUGUCUCUGACAGAUUGUCAAAUUGAGGCUGCUUCUGGAAGAUAGGAUUGAAGGAAUUGGCAAGGCAUGGAAGACUUGGGCCUUGGGCUUUCUAUCUGGCUUAAUGGGCUUGGCUCCCAUGGACUGGAUCCAACA